rnacentral:rRNA from 1 species
CGCAAGCCUGAUGCAGCCAUGCCGCGUGUAUGAAGAAGGCCUUCGGGUUGUAAAGUACUUUCAGCAGUGAGGAAGGUGGGUAUGUUAAUAGCAUACUCAUUUGACGUUAGCUGCAGAAGAAGCACCGGCUAACUCCGUGCCAGCAGCCGCGGUAAUACGGAGGGUGCGAGCGUUAAUCGGAAUUACUGGGCGUAAAAGCGCAUGCAGGUGGUUUGUUAAGUCAGAUGUGAAAGCCCGGGGCUCAACCUCGGAAUUGCAUUUGAAACUGGCAAACUAGAGUACUGUAGAGGGGGUAGAAUUUCAGGUGUAGCGGUGAAAUGCGUAGAGAUCUGAAGGAAUACCGGUGGCGAAGGCGGCCCCCCUGGACAGAUACUGACACUCACGAUGCGAAAGCGUGGGGAGCAAACAGGAUUAGAUACCCCUCGUAG